AACUAUUUCUCAUAUAAAUUUUUUACAUUAAAUCAUAAAAUCUUUUAGAUCACAUCUAAAUUUUUAUAAUUUCAAAUCAUAAUAAUUUUGAUUAUUAAGAUUAGAUGUAACUACUUUUCUUUCCAACUUACAUCAUAUACAACAAAUCCUAAGAUUUCAAGAUCUAAAAUUUUGUAAGAAAGUAAAUUUUUCUUUUUGAUUUCUUCUUCAUGGGACCUCAUAGUGGCACCCCUACACACCAUAAGAGCACCCCAUUGAAUGGAAAGAGAGGGUCAUGUAACCCUACUUGCUCCUAUGAUCGAACGGUCUGGUGAUUACUCAAUUCGAGUACUUUGCUACUUAGAUCAUCUAAUCUAAUAUGUACAGGAUUGAUCAAAUAUCAGAUCUAAAAUUAAAACAUAUUUAGAUCUAAUCUAAAUAACAUAUAAUCAGAUCUAAAAGCAUAUAAAAUCAUAUAAGGAACAAAGUUCUGAUACCAAUUGAAGAAAAAGUAGGGCA
rnacentral:lncRNA from 1 species